CCUACGGGUGGCAGCAGUGGGGAAUAUUGCACAAUGGGGGAAACCCUGAUGCAGCAACGCCGCGUGGGUGAAGGAGCGUUUCGGCGCGUAAAGCCCUGUCAGCGGGGAAGAAGAAAGACGGUACCCGACCAAGAAGCCCCGGCUAACUCCGCGCCAGCAGCCGCGGUAAUACGUAGGGGGCGAGCGUUAUCCGGAUUUACUGGGUGUAAAGGGAGCGUAGACGGCGGGGCAAGUCAGAUGUGAAAGCCCCGGGCUCAACCCCGGGACUGCAUUUGGAACCGGGCUGCUAGAGUGUCGGAGAGGCAGGCGGAAUUCCUAGUGUAGCGGUGAAAUGCGUAGAUAUUAGGAGGAACACCAGUGGCGAAGGCGGCCUGCUGGACGAUGACUGACGUUGAGGCUCGAAAGCGUGGGGAGCAAACAGGAUUAGAUACCCUUGUAGUC
rnacentral:rRNA from 1 species